AUCAGUUUAAGAAAAGAUCAAAGUGUGAUGGUUGGGUUUUCACACUGAUGUGUAAGAUGUACCUCCUUCAACUCUUGUUACAUCAGCACAUUACCUGUCUAACA